UGCAGCAAGGUUUGCAAAGUAAUUCAAAUCAACAGCUUUUGUUAACACCCCCCUGGCUGGGGGUGAUUCUAAAGAAACUUUGAAGCCUGUUUUCUCACUAAUCUACAUUGCAGAGUGCCAACAUUGAAAUGGUCAUAUCUUUUUCAACUUUGUUGAUUUCCACAAGUUUGACAUCAUUGGAAGGCUUAGAUUCUGCUCUUUUAGAACCUGUAAAUAACUCAAAACAGCCCCGGGGGAGACUUGUUCCUGGUUUGGCUGUGGCCUGUCUCAGAUGUUUCCCCAGGGGGUCAGGGGAAGAUUCUGAGAAAGCACUGAGGAGGAGAGGUAAGUGGAGUUAUUGAAGGGAAGGAUAUCUGAUAACUGUUAAGAAGAAGAAGUCUUGCUGUUGUCGUCUGUGGUGUGUGGUUCGGGUUGAUAAUGAUUCUUGUUUUUCUUUCCAGGGGAAGACGGAGAGGAUGUUCCAAUGUUUAGGGGUGGAUUGUGAUAUUUUCUAGACCGUGGAUCAAUGAACUGGAAUCCCGGACAAUACGGGAACUGAAUAAUGGUUUCCUGGAAGGCAAUCCACUCCUUUAUAAGCUCCUUCUGAUUGGACCUCAAUGAGCAAGAGCUGUGAGGACGCACCUGCUCUUCACGCCC